AUGAACGCUGGCGGCGUGCCUAAUCCAUGCCAGUCGAGCGAACAGAUCAGGAGCUUGCUCCUUUGACGUUAGCGGCGGACGGGUGAGUUACACGUGGAUAACCUACCUAUAAGACUGGGAUAACUUCGGGAAACCGGAGCUAAUACCGGAUAACAUAUUGAACCGCAUGGUUCAAUAGUGAAAGGCGGCUUUGCUGUCACUUAUAGAUGGAUCCGCGCCGUAUUAGCUAGUUGGUAAGGUAACGGCUUACCAAGGCAACGAUACGUAGCCGACCUGAGAGGGUGAUCGGCCACACUGGAACUGAGACACGGUCCAGACUCCUACGGGAGGCAGCAGUAGGGAAUCUUCCGCAAUGGGCGAAAGCCUGACGGAGCAACGCCGCGUGAGUGAUGAAGGUCUUCGGAUCGUAAAACUCUGUUAUCAGGGAAAAACAAAUGUGUAAGUAACUGUGCACAUCUUGACGGUACCUGAUCAGAAAGCCACGGCUAACUACGUG
rnacentral:rRNA from 1 species